GUCUUCCUACGGGGGGCAGCAGUGGGGAAUAUUGCACAAUGGGGGAAACCCUGAUGCAGCAACGCCGCGUGGGUGAAGGAGCGUUUCGGCGCGUAAAGCCCUGUCAGCGGGGAAGAAGAAAGACGGUACCCGACCAAGAAGCCCCGGCUAACUACGUGCCAGCAGCCGCGGUAAUACGUAGGGCGCGAGCGUUAAUCGGAAUUACUGGGCGUAAAGCGCGCGUAGGCUGUUGUGUAAGUUGGGGGUGAAAUCCCACGGCUCAACCGUGGAACAGCCCUUGAUACUGCGCGACUUGAAUCCGGGAG
rnacentral:rRNA from 1 species